GGCCUUUUGGCGCAAUGGUAGCGCACAGCUCUCCUACUCUCAUUUUCUUCCAAAAAGAAAAAAUCCGUGCCUGUUGGCAAGCUGAGGUUGUGGGUUCGAGUCCCACAGGGGUCG